AAAAAAUCAGGAAAAUGUUUAAAUUUUCAAGGUUAAUAACGUUUUUGUGGGAAUUUUUCAUUUUGUAUAUAUAUAGCCAUUAUAUAAUGUCAGAGUUGAAUUUCUUGUUUUAAUAUAAAAACAUGAAAGGCUUGCAAGGUGUAAAGUCAAAUUCUACAAAAAUUAGUUCAUUCGGUAUAUAUAUUGCAUGAUCCUUGUGUCACAAAAGUUAACACAAAAUUUCAAAAGAAAAGCAAAACAGUUUGUAUAUAUUAUAUAUAUCAUUUAUAUAAAUGGAAAGUCACUCCAGCCUUCCCUGUACAUAUUUUUACCAUAUCUAAUUGUAAAACACCAUGCAAAUCCUUCCCCCAGUCCUAAAUCUAUCCUUGAAUAUUAUAAAUACGUUCUUAAGGUGUUGUAGCUUUUUUUACUUUCUUAUUUAGGCUUAAAAGGUCAAAUAAGUUGCAGCCAUAUUCCUAGCAAAGACCACUCAGAUAAACUACAGUACCUAGCUACAUGUAUAAGCAACAUAAAACUGACAGGUUAGCUAGGUAUACUGGGAAUCUUUAGUUUAAAGCUAACAUUAGCUGGCUACAGCGGCCAAUAGCUGGUCACUUAAAUAUAAACUAGAAACUUAGCUAGGUAUAAAGAACACGGCUACAUAUAUAUACAUUCCUAGCUAGCUAGCUAGUUGUUGGUGGUGGUUGGCUUUUUAUGAUGCUAGCUGUAAAACAUGUCUGGCAUCAAUAAUAUCAUCAAAACUGAAACAAAACAUGAAAAAAACUUACAGAACCCUCUAUGAUUAAUUUAUAAAACCAUGCUCUUCUUCAAAUGUUUUUUUAAAUAUUUAUUUUGAAUGAAAGAGUAGAGAAUACUCAAAAUGAACAAUUUUAUUCGUAAACACAAUUUCCGUUUUAUGCUAGGAACUUCAUUUAACAGUCCGUAUGCUUUGUGAAUAUCUAAUACCGUUUCAUAUGUAGCGAUAUGCUCAUAUAGAUUUUUUGGCAUAAGGGCAUAUAUAUUUAUAUCGUUAUUAGCAGCGGGUUAUAUAUUUACACCUUAUGUGCAAUUUCUAUGAAGUACAUGCCUAACUUUUUUAGUUAAAUUUUAACGUACAGCCAUGUCAUAAGAAAGUGACCCGUGAUUUCCGUGUCGUGGACUCACAGUUUUACUCACGCAAGGGAAUUAAUAUAUAAGAUCCAAUUAAUAAAGACAUUACAAUGCAAACUUUGAGGCCAAAUAACGUGGAAACGAGGUGGUGACGUCAAUGAUUUUUCACCGCGAGGGUAACUAGGGAUAUUAAGUUAAUGAAGCCAUUACAAUGCAUUUAAAACUUCGAGGUCAAAUAACUUGGAAAUGAGGUGGUGACGUCAAUGAUUUUUUACCGCGUGGCUAAGUUUCCCAAACCCGGCUCUCGGAAUCCGUUUCGGAUUGAACUGGUUGAUGACGCCAUCAAAAAAACUUUAAACCCCAAUAUCUCUGCAACCGUUUGUCAAAGGUACAUGAUCCUAUACAUUUUCUUUAUCAGCGUUUUGAGAUCUCUAAAAUCAAUUUUUUUGUGUUUUGACAAAAUUUUAAACACUUAUAUAUCCUUAGGCGUUCGUCGAAAACAUAUGUUCCUAUACAUUAUUUUGAUCAGCGUUUAAACCUCUACACAUUACAAAAAAUAUACUAAAUUUCGCUAUUUUUUUUGGAUCUGCACUCCUGACGUCAUCCGAACAUCUAAAACAACCUAUUUUUCCAUUCUCUUUCUGCCUAAAUGGAUGUCUUCACGGGUCUUAUCGACUAGUCUAUAUAAUAAUACGGAGCUUCUGUCUGUCUGGGUGUGUGUGACUUUUACAAAGACGAUAUUUUUUACCACCCAUAUGCGCAAAUUUGUCGAUUUUUUUUUUGUUUACAUUUGUCUCGCAACCGUUAGAAACCACAUGAUAGAAAAUAGUUAGUAUGAUUUGCUCAAAUACAUACUUUCGAAGGGAAGGCAUUCGAAUAGAAAGUUCUCGUGGCGUAAAAACAAAUAAAAAAGUUUCUCGACAACGUUCUCGACAAAGGCGAACUAAAAAAGCGGAUAAAAAAUGUCUCAUUUUUGACGACCCCUUAGUCAUAAAAAAGUGCAGAUAUUAAAAGCAAAGAAAAGUUAAAAUAGAGAAGUAGAGUGGAUUAGUAGAAGUAGAGUGGAUUAAAAAAGCAUAUAAUUUGGAACAGGGUUACCAUCGACACACAAAAAACAACAAAAGAACGGUGCUUUCGUCUUGAAAAAAGUGCCAAAAGUGAAAAGGUAAAGUGUUUAAAAAAGAAUAUAUGAAAAAGAAAGAAAAGUCCAAGUGAAGAAAUAGAAGUAAAAGUAGAAAAGUGAAGUUGGAAGCCACAAUAAGUUACUUCGGAAGUGAAGAGUAGAGCUAGAAGUAGUAGAGUAAAGUUAGAAGUAGAAAAUGAAUGCUAGAGUUUCAAGUUCAAGUAACUUGGAAUUCAGAAAAAGUAAGAACUUUGAUAUUUUUAAACGUUCCGUUUUUGUAUGUAGGACACUUAAAAUUGUUAAGGAGAAUCGUAUUCUCAAAAAAAUCCAUUAGAGCUUUAAAUUCUUAAAGAUUUAUAUUUUACCGCGUUUUUUAAAUAAUAAAAAAGCUAGCUAUAUUUGUUUACAUUCUUUUGCAUAAUUGAUGUGUCCCCUGGUGCGUAGCUAAUGUAUUUGUCCUAAAAUUCAAAAUGCUACAUAAAGUUGUUAGCUAGCUACCAAACAAAUGUGCUAACGAAAUAGAAAAUUUUGGUUUGUUGGACUAACUGCAAAUGUCAUAAUUUUUACAUUGCUUUUGUUUUCCUUUAUAUGUGUUUUACUAAGCAUGAAUAGCUAACUAUAGACGUAGUUAAGUCUCCCCAGCUUAAGUUUAUUUAACUGGGUGUCCUAGCUACUGUUAGCUAGCUAAAUGUUAGCUUCAAGGCUCCAUCCCAUAGUUAGCUCUAACCUAUGAGUUAUGUUGUUAUUCCUCUCUUUUCAAGUAUUUAUAGCUACCUUAGUAGUCAAACUUUUCUUCUUUUUUAAACACGAAUUAUGAUGUAACAAGCUAGCUACAAAAUCUUUCUUGAACUUUUAGGAUAGUGUGACUCAUUGUUGUCCCCAUAGAGUAAACUUUUGUCAGCCUACGUGUAAAAUGCUAAGUUAUUUUUACAGGGGUUAUUGACAUUAGAUUGGAAAUUUACGUGGGUUUAUGACUCUGGGUUAAAAAAAUUUAUGAGAGGAUUGUAUUGUUGUCCGUUUAUAUUGUGUGUGUAGCAAAGUGCUGUUAUUUGAAAUUUUUUGUAAACUUUUAUGGAAAUAGACCACAUGCAAUAUACUAAAAGAACAAAUUUUUGUAGAAUUACACUUUAAGCUGUUGUGUAAGCUGAUGUCUUUUUUUAUUUCGUAUUAUAAACUUUUGUGAGGUAAAAGUAUGUGAUGUCAUUUUUACUGGAUGAAAAUUUCAUGGUUUCACGUUUUUGUUUUUGUUGAGAAUUUUACAAAAUUUUGUAUUAAUAAUUGUUUGGUGAUAACAAAAAAAUUACUGAAUGUUCUCACUAAAACUGUUUCUGUUUUUUUAUAUUUUGUAAGGACUGUAUGCACUGAAAUGACUGAUUUAUCUAUAAUUUGAUGUGUUUCAUAACCUUUUUGUGGAAAAUUUAUGGGUAAUGGCAAUAUAUAACAUGCUGAAUGAACUGGUUUUUGUUGAUUUUUUUGUUUCUUUAAAGACAAUCUUAUUUUACAUUUUGUGUAAACUUUUGUAAGAAUUAACCAUAUACAAUGUUUUCCAAAAUAAUGAUCUUUGUUUAUUUCAAAUUAACUCCUUGCUCAUUGUUUUUUUGACACUUCAGUUUAAAAUGUUUAGUAAAGGGCAGUACGGAUCAUCAGACAAAAAUUUCCAGGUUAGGAUGUUAUGCAAUCAAAUAAAUGAUUUUUCGAGAUUUGAAUUUGAUGUUUUCUAAACUAUGGCUUUUUGAUAUUGUUGUAUAAGCAUUUAGGAAAAAGACAAUGUUUAAAAUGUUUAAAGAGCUUAUUUUCAUAGAUAUGUGCCUUUUCUCGCAAGCCUUUCUUUUUGACACUUCAGAUUAAAAUAUUGAAGGUUUUCAACAUAAUCACAUAAGAUGCUGUGACUGUCGGUAUUGUAACUGCAAGUGUUGUUACUGUCGGUUUUGUGAGUGUUGUUGUUGUAAAUUUAUAUCAACUAUAUUUUACACCUUACAAGCUGUUUUUCUUUGCAUUUUGUGUAAGUUUUUGUGUGUGUGAUUUAAUGUGAUUUGACAUUGUGUGAGAUUUUAAGAACAUUUUUGCUAAAUUAGGAAUUACACCUUCGACACAUACUUUUUAACAUUUUAUAUUUAUUUUUUUGGUAAAGGGCAGUGUGCAAUAUACUAAAUUUGCUGAUAUCAAUAAAAUUAUAUGACAGAUCUUUCCCAUUGUCCUUCCUUCUGCCUAAGUGGAGUUUAGCCUUAUCGACUAGUAUAAUAUAAAAGUUUUAUAUAUUAUUUAGUUGUAUAUGAUAUAUGUAAUACAUGUAUAAAAUAAUAAUUAAAUGUCUUUACUCAGAAAAAAUCUAGAAGCCAGAAAAUUAAAAUUAAAAUGUUGCCAAUUUAGGUAGCAUUUCUCUUUCCAUAGUUUCUGGUCGAACUGAAUGGUUGGUACGAAUAAACGUUUUUUAGUUUAAAUAAUAAAAUCAAGUUCAGUGAGGUCACAUUGGUAAAAAUACUGAUGCUUCAGUUUUAGUUCUGGUUUACCAUUUACCAUUGCAGAAAAAUUUUUUUGUCGGUGCAACAUUUUUUAAUAUUAAACUAGAAGCUGAACAGUUUGAGACGGGAGAGCAACGCCUUUGAAAGUAUUGUUGUUAUGCUUAAAAGAAAUAUUUUGGAAUAGAAAACUGAAACUGUCUUUGUCAAGUAAUAGACGCAUAGUAUCAUUCCAUUUAAAUCAUAAGAUAGAAAAAAUUUCACGAAUCUAAUAGUUCUUAGUCAGGCGAUUAUAUCCGUAAAUGGUGCUAUCUUCUAACAAAAUAUUAUACUCCCUGAACCAUAUUUUAACUUUAUCCAUAAAAUCACACAAUUACUUUUAAAAAUCACAAGUCAAAACGUAUAUUAUAUAAAAAAGAUUCAUUUUACUAACAUGUUUUCAAAUUUAUGGUCGAAAAUAGUGCUAAUGGUUUGUGUUUAUAAAACAUAUAAAACUUCAAAAAGUUGUCUUAAAAAACAAAACAAUAAAUCAAAUGUUUGUGUUAACAAAAGAAACUAUUUCAAAUUUUGUGCUAAACUAAAUGGAAAUAGAUGUAAAUAGUGUAAAUCAAUAAGAAGUCUAAAACAUAAGAAUCAUAAGAGAAGAGAAUAACAAAAGAAAAUAUGCUGUGUUUAAAAAAUACAACUUUAAUAAAAAACUAAUGCUCUGACAUAGAUGUAAUAACAUUCUUAUCGUUGUAUUCAUAAUCAAUGUUUUCCAAAUAAAGGAUUUUUUCCUUUAGUUCGUCCAUAUUGUUUUUUCCUAUUUGAAUAAUAUCUAUUUUAAAAAAAGAUUCCAGAACAGCAAGUGGCAAUACCAGUGUAUGUUUGUUAAAACAUAUUUGCAAUAAAAAAAACGAAGUUUUAUCACUAAGCAUUGUGUGUUUGCAAUGUGGGCAUGUAACUAUUUUGACUCUAGGCUGAAGAACCACAGACUUUUGGCAGUUUGUACACGCAGGGUAGAGUUCAAGCUCUAAAUUCAUUUACGAUUUUUGUUGUCAUUUCAUCUGACAGAUAUGUUUGAUAUCUAACAGGGCUCAAAAUCGGUGAAGUAUCGUUGGAAUCUGUAACCGAAAAUGUGGUCAUUUUUGUAGUCGACAGUUUCUGUCCAUAAAAGUUCCUUAGACUAAGAAUUGUGAUACUGUAUUCCUUUUUCUCAAUAACAGAAUCAAUUAAAUCAUUCCACACUGUCAACUUUAUGUCUCCUGUUUCGUCAUAAAGAACCACCUCACGUAGAGGCAAUUCUCCAUUUGAAGCUGUUACCAUUAUUGAUUCUUUGAGCCAUUUUAACGAUCCAACAACAUCAUAGGUUCCAACGUUUUGACACAGGAUUUCUUUUAUUGGUGUAACUGCACUAGAAUCAUACGAGAAUGUCAUCUGAUUCGAAGUUUGAAUCCUGCUUCCCCGGAAAGAAUUGAACAAAAAAGUUCCUGUGGUGGAAGAAGGUGAAAGGUUUGAAAACUGCACUGGUUGCGAUGAAGACUUGUAACCUGUUAACAAUCAAAUUGGAUUUUGAGUUUUUCAUGAUUCGAAUAAUUGCAUUUUCCGUUUCCGUGGUUUUCAUCAAAACAUCAAUGAAUUCAUUACCAGAUUUAGAUACAUUUGAGUUAACCGUUACUAUGUAACCAUGAAUAUCUGUAAUAUAAUGUACCAAAAAAAAUUGAAAUGCAAAUAAAGCUCUGGUCAUCAAAUAGCAGAAUGUAGAUUUCUUAAUUAUACGUACAAAUGUAUUUGUGUUAUGUCUAAGCAAAACAGUAAAAUUAUAUUUAAGUUUUAGAGGGACUUGUAUUAAAACAGAUUAACAGUUUUUGAUUUGAUUGCUAAAACAAUGACAAUGAGUAAUAUAAUAAUUACUUUGAAUUAUUAAAUAUAAAUCAUACCAAUUAGAGUUGGAGAAGGAGAACUUUUAAAUCGUUUAUUUGGAGAUGGCGACAUUGGUGGAGAGAAUCCAGUGAAGAGCUUUGUUGGAGUCAAGGGUGGUGAUUUCAGGUCAUUUGAGCUUCAUUGGAGUGACUGAUUUGGAUGAACUUUUAGUAUCAGGAGAGAGAUUGCUGUUUUUGAGAUGAGCUGCAUUUAAUAGAACAAGCAAAACAUUUAAAACAGUUUUAAAACAUUGUAUUACGUAUAUGAAAAGUUAAAAUUUUACAUGAAGACGGGAUGGAAUUGAGCAAUAACGAAAAUAAAUAAAAAUAAUAAUGAAAAAGAAAGAAAGAAAAGAAAAGAAAGUAAAACUUACAUGUAGAUUGAGAAUGUGUCGGCUGUUGCUGCUCGAAUUCCAAAGGAUUUUUUGUUCUCGAUUUUUUCCCUUUAUAUUUAAGUGAUUGUUUCUCUUUUUUAUUCAUUUUUACUUUAAAUCUAACAUUGGAAAUAUAUAAAUAUAUAUCUUAUGACAAAUCCUCCAAAAGCUAUCAAAUCACGUGGCAAAUUUUGACGGGAUUUACGAAAAUUAGAACUUAACCAAAACUUUUCCCCUUAAAACACUGUACAAUUUAUGGCAUCAUAAAAUUCAAAAAAUCGUUACUUUGACAGAAUUAUGUUGUGAAAAAAAGACUUUCUCAACUUCAGCCUCCACCCUAUAUUUUGAAAAAAGUGAUUGUUUAACGUAAACAUGAGUUGGUCUUUCAAUUAAUUGGUCAUACAAAUUUAAGACAUUUCUCAAAUUUUCAUUUGGUUGAAUAUUAAAGUCACCUACAAUUAAAUCAAUAUCAUGUGUGCUGGUUAAAUAUCUCAAAAGGUCGUAAAACUCAGGAAUCAAAGUGUUGUUUUUCCUAUAAAGAAGCAUUACUGUCAAUUCAAAUGUUCCAACAUUUGUUUUGAAAAUUGAAAAACCAUUUCCAUCAAAUUCACGAACCAAAUCUAUUUUAUCUUUAUAAUAAACAGCCAGACCUAGAAAUCUAUCCUCAUUGUUAUUUAAAAUAUAAUUAAAAUUGUCUAUAUGAACAUCUUCGCUUGUUAAUUGGGUUUCAGUACAAAGGAAUGAUGUCAGUAUUUGUAAAUGAUGAAUCAGAUCUUAUAUCAACGAUAUGUCUACUUAAAGAUUGUACAUUACAAAUUUUGAAUUCUAAAAACAUAUUAUUUUCUAAUUGAUCUUUAUCAUUUAGACUUUCUAAUAUUUGUUCUUCUCUAAGAUAAUCAUAUUCUGUUUUUACCCUUUCAUCUACUACUAUAACUUUUUUAUCAAAUUUGCCUGUUAAAAACAAUCCCUCUAAUGAAGUUACACGACUUAAUCCUACAUAAAAUUGACCUGGAUUAAAUGACCUUUGUUUUAAUAAAUCACAACUUAAACGAUUUGAUCCAAACUAAGACCUUGAACUUUGUGUACUGUACAUCCCCACGAUAAUGUCAAAGGAAAUUAAGUUCUUUUAAUAGCUGGUGCACUAUGACGCUUUGCAUUUGUUCUAAUAUGAAGUGUUACUCUUUCAAUAGGAACAGCACCAAAAUGUCUUCCUAAUUGACUCUGCUUUUUUUUAAGUCCAGCUUUAGGAUCAUCAAACUUAAUGAUAAUAGCUUCAACUUUCUCAUUCUUGUAAUGAAUGUGCAUAAUAGUUCCAAUUUGCCCGUUAUUUAGAUUGUCAGAUAAAUCAACGUUGCUUGUAAGCAUAGUUCUGGCCCCUAUUUUUACUUUUAGAUGAAAAAUUAAACCUUUAGUUUGACUCAAAGACAUGUUCAAAAUUCUAUCGUAUAUAUGAUUUGGAACAGAAUUUGGUACUUGGUCUAUAGCUUCAAUUGUUAGAACAGUUUGAUCGAUCAUUUCCAACAUUGUCUGAUUAUGUACCCGUGCUGGUUCAUUUUCUGCAAAAAUAUGUAAGGCAUCUACAGGGUAAUUGUCAUCUGUUUUAUCAAUAACCCUUGAGCCUAAAACAUUGAUAUCACUCUCACUUAAUUCACCAAUACGAACAUUAUUCAGUAAAUCAAUAAAUGAAGAAUCUUCUCUUUGUCUCAUGACCUCAGUCAAUUCACAAAAUUUGAAAGUUCUCCACAGAUGAUGUAUAUUCAAUAUUUCAUCAUAGUAGUCAGCAUAUAUUGGUUUUUGGAGAACUGGAGAAAGUUGAUAAAGAUCACCAACAAAAGUCAUUGUAAUCCCAGCAAAUGGAACCGAACUGUUUUCAGCAUAGCCAAAAAUACUCGGAUGAACAUAUAGCAUUAGUUUAUUAGAUACCAUUGAAAUCUCAUCAAUUAUUAUCAUCUUCAGUUCCUCAUAUUUGAUUCUCAAAGCACAUCUUUUUUUAUCAGACAAUUUGGGCACAUGCAUUCCUCUACAUUCAACUGGGAAUCCUAAUCUUGAAUGAAUUGUUGUUCCUGAAAUAUUAAUAGCAGCUACACCAGUUGGGGCUAAUAACAAAACUUUGGGUUUCUCAACAGAUGAAGUUCUGAAAUUUAAUGUUUUAGAAACGGAUGAAUAUAAUGUUUUAAUCAAAAAACCUUUUCCAGUACCUGCAUUUCCUGUAACAAAGAGUCUUAAUGGUGGAAUUUUCAAGGUACUGUCAGCAGGUCUGUUUUGUACACUUUGCCUUGCCCAUCUAAUAACAACAUAUCGCUCUUUGUUUUGGGUUUAAUUGAGAAAUCAUUAAUUUUAUUUCUUCGUUAGAAAAAGAUAAAUUUUCAGAAACUAAGUAGGAAAAUUUUCACUGACUUGAAAAUCAACAAUAUUUUUUUCAUCUUCAGAAUCACAAGCUUCUUCAACUAAAUUUUCUUGCAAAUCAUCAUUUUCUUGCUCAGCAAAACUAUCAGUUGUUCUAGAGUGAGACGUAAAGUGAACUAAUGAAUCCUCAACUAGAUUGCCAAAUGGUUCAAAUUUUUUCCUGUUCUGAUUUACAAUAGCUAAUACAUCUGGUUGGUUUAAUUUUAUCGAAAAACUCUUUUCUUCGCUUGACAAAAGUUCUUGUUCGUGUCUAAAUGGGUAAAAUAGCAUUAGUAAGUGAUGUGCAUGUUCUUCGGGUUUCAAAGUAGCACUUGGAGUGUAAUAACAUAGAAUUUUUUUAACCGAACGACAUCUCAUCUUAUCUUUUGAUUUCAUCAAUGGGAUAAUUUUAGGGUAUGAUAGAGGACCUUCAAUAUUAUCAUCAACAAGUACUUCAGGUUGACUAUCAUUGUCUUCCCGAGGUUUAGUUUCAAUGACAAAAAAUGCUAGAAAUUCUGCAUAACAAAUUUCAUCUAAAACACUAAAUUUUCCUCCUUUUAAAUUUUUAUCUGGGCGCUCCAUGUAUCUAUCUAAAUUGUUUUUUGUUUGAAAACAUCAGUACUAUGCUCUGGAAGUUGAGACAACUCAUUUUUAGAUUUACAAACUUUGUAUCUCUUUUCAGGCAAGUUAGAAUUAGCAAAUGUUACAACAGGAAGCGUUUUUCUCAACCAAAGUUCUGGCAUUAGCUGAUAAACUGCUUCUUGUAGAGAACAUUGCGGGUGUGUCAAAAAAGCUAUUGCCAAUUUUUUCAUUCAUCUUUAUAAGAAAGGUUUUCAGAUUCAUUUGCUGCAUUUUUCAUUGCUACAGAAGAUUCAGUUUCACAUUAAGAAAAAUACGAACACAUAUAGGUUACAGCUUUGUAAUUGUUAAAAACAGGCUGUAUAUCAAUAUUCGCCUCCCAAGCUUGUAAACCGGUUGUAAAAUAAUUAUUUACGAAACACGAAUUUGGCGGUCUAAAAAUAUGAAUUUCAAAGUCAGUAUCGGGGGAAAUAGACAAAGCCCAAUAGUAAUCAUUUUCUGUAAUUCCUAAUGCAUCCAAAAUAUCAGAUAUAAAACUUUCUUUAUAAGAUGGCCUGUGUGGAUCAAGGUAUUCAUCAAUAUACAACUUAACUUCCUUUAAUAUUGAUUGCCGUUUGUUAAGUAUCUCUAAUUUUUCAUUUUCUGGAAGUUCAUCAUUGAGAGGUUCAGCACAAAUUGUUCUAUUAGUAAAAUACCUGCCAUAACGGAAGCGACAAGGAAUAUUCUUAUAUUUUCUACAAGAUCGUGAAUGGCAAUGUGAUUGAUAUUUGCUAACUAAUUGAUUAAGCUCAGGCUCAGUGUCUUUAUCAGGCAAAUCUACUCUAACAAUAGAAUCAAUAAAAUCAAUAUAUUCUUGUUUGGUUUCUCUUGUUAACAAAGGAGCAUCUUUUACCCAUAUAAAGCAAUGUACAUGAGGUGAACCUCGAAACUGAAAUUUAACUUUUAUUGCAUAGUUUUCUACAUUUCCUAAAGGACUGUUUUUGUGGAUAAUGAUUUCCUUAAAAAAUGUUUCAACUCUAUAUUGAAAGUAUCUAGCCACUAACACAGGGUUACUAUUCAAAAUUUCACAUUUUUGAAAGUAGUCGAUUUCACUGUUUUCAUCUAAGUUUAAGCCGUUUAAUCUAGAAAUAAUUAGAAUCAACUCCUUUCCAGCGCAAGUCAGCACAAGAUAACGUAGGAAAAAUUAUUGGUAGUCCCAAUUGUUUAACCAUUGCAAGAACAUCAUGUAAAAAGUUUUUCCAGUAUGCAGGAGGACCUUUAAUAGCUUUCAUGAAAGAAUAACCCUUAUCUUCAUAAACAAUUGAACGAACUGUUUCAUUUAAAUUAUUAUUUAAUUGACCAGCAUUUAUGCUUCCCUUUACCUUUGUCGUAGCAAUAUUUAUCUGGUUAAAUAAAUUGACCUGUUGCAAUAUAUAGUGGGCAAAAAAAAUGUAGUCACCAUUGGAAGAUAACCUUUAAGUAUAAUUAAGUAGUCGCUGAUUGAAUAAAUUGGAAAGGAGACAACGAGACUUCUCUUGUUACUUUAUAACCAAAUCUACCUUUAGGUAAGAGAAAUGGAAAUGCCUGUUCUUCACAAAAUUGGUCAUUGAAAAAUGAUUCAGGGGUUUUGUUUUGACCUGGAGCUAUAUCUAACACAUUUUGUGAAUUGUCAUAAAUAUUCGGAAUAACACACAUUUCAUUACUAUUUGUUCGUUCUAAAUCUAAAGAAUUGUUACCUUCUAAAUGCUCAUCGUUUUCAUUCUCAACAACAAUUUCAAAUUCACCUUUUUCUACAAUACUUUCUAUAUCAGAUAAGCAAAGAAGAUCUCGAUUAAUAUUAUCUAAAUUGAUAAAAACGUUAGAAUAAAAACGAUUAUGUUCCUUCAGAUAGUUCAAAGCUAUUUCAACAAAACACGGACGAACACUUUCAAAAUAAACAUGCCCUUUAAAUUCGAUUUUUCUUUUCAACUUAACUAGUACAACUCCAUCAUUGGCAGCAGAUCUAGGUAAAACAUUUGAAACUGCAUCAGCUUGAAUUGGAAUAUUGCAUACAGCACCUCUAAUUUUUGAAUUCUUUUUGAGAUUAAGGUUUUUUCUAGACGAUUCAAACGUUCCAAAAUGUCUGGAAUGGGAUCUAGCAUUAAUUUAUUGACUACAGCUUGUGGAGGAGUAUUGUUUAUUUAAGAUGUUUAUCACAAGUAAUGCAGACAUAUUUACAUUGGUCAAAGCUUUCAAUUUCAUGGAAUAAGUGUAAGAUGCUUGAUAUUGUGUGGAGACAAAUUUCUUCACAGACUUUUUAUAAAGACAUCUAUGACAAACAACACAUAUAUAAUAUGAUCCUUCCUGAAUAGCAUUUUUGAAAACAGAUACUAUCGAAACAUUAAGAUUUUUUUUGCUUUACGUUUUCUACAUUUUGCUUUUUCAGUUUCUGUUCGUUUUCGUUCUCUACAUUUUGCUUUUUCAGUUUCUGUUUGUUUUCGUUCUCUACAUUUUGCUUUUUCAGUUUCCGUUUGUUUACGUUUUCUACAUUUUUCUUUUUCAGUUUCGGUUUGUUUACGUUUUCUACAUUUUUCUUUUUCAGUUUCGGUUUGUUUACGUUUUCUACUUUUUUCUUUUUGAAUUUCGGAUUGAUUGCGUUUUCUACUUUUUUCUUUUUGAAUUUCGGAUUGAUUGCGUUUUCUACAUUUUUCUUUUACAGUUUCAGAUUUUUUUCUUAGUUCUAAUCUGUAAGUUAAUUUAGCAUCAAAAUUAGGUGCAUUAUCGAACUGAAUCUUUAUAUAUUGAACAGCAAAACAUACAUAUUCUUCAUUAACAUCUAUAAAAUACGUUUCUGAAAUGUGUUGUUCUAAAGAUUUUCUAGAGGAAAAUUUUAAUAAAACUGAAAAACCAUCAGGAAUAAUUUCUCCAUUAAUGUUACGACUAUGUGAGUCAAACAAAAAGUAAUGUCUAGAAUUCCAAGUGACUGACAUUGUUAAGCCCCUUAAAGUAAAUAAAAAACCUGAAGUAUCUAUUGGAAUGUCCUGGAAUGAAAAAGACAAAUGCAAAUUGGUUAUGUAAACAGGGUGAACACGAUACUCUUGGAAAACAGCCUUAAAAUUUGUAGAGUUUUUGAACAUAAACUGUGUAGGUAAUUCAUCCAUAACAACAUAACCAAUUUUUAAACUUUUGUAAAUCGCAUCACCAUUUUCUAGAAUAAAAUCCAUAUCUUUACUAUUCCAAGUACCUUGGAUUUUAAUCAAAGUAAACGCAGCUAAAGAUAAUGCAUUACAAGUACAUUGCCUACCAGCUGUUAUUCCAAAUCUCUCGUUUCCUUGAUUGUAAGAACCUUGAGCUGACUUUAAAAUGUUUCCUUGCAACGACAUGUUAUAUAAAUGUUAGAAUUAACUUUGUUACUUUAUAAAUUUAACUUGUGAUUAUUGUAAAUUACUUUUUGUGACUUGUUGUUCCCAGAUAGUCUUUAUCUGGGCUAAAAGAAACACUUGACCGUCUUGUGACAAAUGUUGUUCCCAGAUAGUCUUUAUCUGAGCUAUAAACACCAGCUAGUCUUUAGCCAAUGUUGUUCCUAGAUAGUCUUUAUCUGGGCUAAAAGAAACAUUUGACCGUCUUGUGACAAAUGUUGUUCCCAGAUAGUCUUUAUCUGAGCUAGGAAACACUUGACCGUCCUUUGACAAAUGUUGUUCCCAGAUAGUCUUUAUCUGAGCAAAUUUCAAGCAAAAUAAAAUUUUCUCAAUUCCCAGUGGAAAGAGAGAACAAAUUAAAAAAAUAAAAAUAUGAGAAAUUGGUUUUGAUUUCAAAGAUUCAGAAAGAUUUGACAAUACAAUCUUGACUUCUAUUCUAGUGAAAAAUUGAAGAAAUUCUGAGGCUUCAAUUCUUCGUCAGCCGGCAAAAUCUGUACCAAAAAUUCAUACGCCCUUACUUCCGCCCGACCGCCUGCCGAAUUUCGCGUAGGAGGAGGAGGAGGAGUCGCAGCUGAAAUUAAAACGGGAUACGCUACGCUCUCUCUUCACUCGAAAAAAAUCUAGGAGCCAGAAAAUCAAAAUAAAAUGUUGUCAACUUUAGCUUCAGAAAUAAUACCAUCUGUACUAAAACCCAACCAAGGCCAUCUUAAAUUAUUAAUAAGACCACACUUUUUUAUUUCAUUGUUUUUAUAUUUUUUAAAGCAAUGCUUUCGCUCGCCUUUCUCAAUUUACAGGCUUUUAAAAUACAGUUUAACAACCGAUUUAAAAACGAAUCAGAUGGAGUACCACUUCUACGAUUCAUAACAAUACCAAAAUUUGAGGCCAUUAUAUUAGGUAAUGUAAUGUAAUGUAAUGCCAUGGGGAACUGCUUAAAUUAUUAGGCCCAGGACUCUUGCGUAAAGCCGAGAAUACUGGACACCAAUGAAUGGUCACACGUCACAUCGUGCAGGAAGUCUGAGAGCUCUCCACAGCUCGCGGUCUAAAAUACUUGUUUAUAGUCCAGGAGAAAAGAACUUUAGGACUCAUUUUCUACAAAAGAUUUGACCCUCCAAAUAGGUUGGUAGUAUCAUGGACAAUAAAAAUCACAUGGUCAGCUCACCCAAUUUGGGGUUUUUUCGGUUCCAGACCCCUAAAAUUACCCUAAUUCGAGACUCCUAUUCGGUCCCCUAAUUCUCAAAGCUUAAAAGUUGGUAACAUGUCUCAUUAUAUGAUAGAAUCUGAAAAAUGAUAAAGCUUACCGAAAAAUUGGGUCUCAAGACUGGGUUCGACCCCCCUCAUAUUUAGACCUUAAUUUGUCCCCAUUUGCUACAAACUCCAAAUUUUGCACAAACAUUCUCCAACAUAGUGGAAUGCCAUUGGUCAUAAAGCUGACCAAAAAUUUGGGUCUCUUGGCCUGGUCAGACCGCGUUUCGCCUCAUAUCCCUAUUUUAAAGAGCUUUUAGAGGGUGAAAAAAACCCAGUGACUACAAAGGCCAAACUCAAUAUUUGUGUUCUAUACUAACUGUGUAUAAAUGGUCGAGCUUACUAAAAAAUGCGGUCCUAUCAGCAGGUCAGACAAAGAUCUGAUUAGACCUCAAAUUAGACCUCAUAAGGUACAAACUCAAAAUUUUGUAAGACUAUUCCUUUGUUCACACGAAUUGGAUUUGGCAAAUAGAAAACCAAAAAUUACGGUCUCUUGAUCAGGUCAGACAAUAGUUAGCGAUAUCAAAUAAAAAAAGAAAUGUUCUUAAAGCAUCUAAUAAAAUAUAAAUAUGUACAACAGGUUAUAGCAGCAUGAUUGGUAUUGUUCUGCAUCAGUAUCUAAAGAUGAGAAAUGUCAUUCAGUCAUAAGAUCUAGUUUAAAUGAAAUACAAUAUUAAAAUUUUUUAAAAAGUUACUCAAUUCUAGAAUAUAUGACAUUGAAUCCUAUUCUGUAAUAGUUUCGUUAGAUCACACAAAAAGAAUUCUAACCUUAAAUUAUCAUUACACCUUCGUCGCUAGUUUCGUCAUCAUUGUCUGAAUCGUCAUCACUUGACAGUUCAUCAAACCCUUCAAAAUCUUAAGGAGAAUGAAAUACUUUUAAUAUUUAAAGUAGCGGCGGAAGUAGCGGAAAUAAAGCAUUGCCUCCGAGUAAUAAUUAAGAAACUAAAUGACUUGUAAAAUUUGAUAUCCAAAAUUUACCUUCUAGUUCUCUAAAGAAUCUAUUAUGAUUUUCAUCGCUGAUGACAUCUACCGCUUUUGGAGACAUUUUGCCUUUGUACCACUUAAUGAGAUAGUUUUCAUUUUUCAGCAGCCAACCCAUGUCUUUGAAGGCUCGGACGUUAUUGAUGACAUCCAUAACUGUGCAACAUACUUUGUGCGAUAAAUCUUUUGACGCUACACUCGUAAACAAGGUGGUGGAGAACUUCCAUCAAACUUUUUAACACAGGAGCUUUAUUUUCUUUUUUUGGUUUCUACUUUUCCAAAAACAAUACCAACCUAGCUUCAUCUACAGAUGAUAUAUUCCUUUUUCAAUACGUGCUGCAUACAAAUUUUCCCAACGUUGCAAAAGCGUCAUCUGUGACAUGAAGAUUUGUUCCUAGCUGUUUAAAUACAUCUUGCACACUUUCAUUUUUUCUAGAAGUUUGAAAGGUCGGUUGAAGUUUCAACAAAAAUGUCAAAGUUGUCGAAUGCAACGCCUAUUCCAAGACUUGACAUUAGUUUCAUACCAUGUGGUGUGGCAUUCCCGGCCUUUGUUGAUGUAAAAGUUAAUACUAUUUCUAGUUCUUCGAUCAUGCUAUAGCUAAUAGUGUCCAAGUCUAUUUAACAUUUCGAUCACUUUUGUGCAUCCUGUAAUGCUUUUCACUGCCAAACUGCAAAUAAUAUAAUAUGCAAAACAACAAAACGUUAAUAUGAAGAUAUAUUGUAACUCUUCUGUAAAUAACGUAAAAAUACAGUUAAUAUUAUUAGAACGUAAAAAUGUACAAAGGAAUUAAUAUUUACAAGACUUCAACAUAAUCUAACAAGUGUGUAAAUCAAAGAAGGUCUCAUUUACAAUAAAGCAUCUUCAACUUACCAUCACUGUCAGUAUUUCCAUUUGCAUUUAAAUCUUCAUCUACAGUAGCUACAACAUUUGCAAAAUAUCACAAUAAUAACUUGUUAUUGGUUAUCUUAAAUUGAUAUAUUCUAAUUAAUUAUGUUUUCCUCCUACCAUCGCUUUCAUUGAUCUUAUUGAAUAUUUCUUUGUUGGAAAAUUCUACGAAAUGAGAAAUUAAAUCAAUGAAGUAAAAAUUGACCAAGUAUGUGUUUAAAAAAUUUAGUUCAACAACAGACUGUUAAAAAAUUUUCUGACUUAUCAUCCAAAACUGACUACAACUUGAAGUAACUAAAAACUUGAAAUAAUUACAUAUAUUUUUACCUGAUGUCAUAUCUUCUAUCUAUCAAAUCGUAUCUACAGUUUCAAAUUUUCUAUUUUUUAUAGUCUAUAAAUAUGCAAAUAUCCCGGUAAUUUGUUCACGUUUUUACUUCACUUACUUCAAAAUAACUGCGUCUCUAACUUUUUCUUCCACUGUCUGGUAUUACAUAUUUAGUAUAGAACACAAAUGUUGAGUUUGAGCUUUGUAGUCACUGUUUUUUUUUUACUCUCCAAAAGCUGUUUAAAAUAGGGAUAUGGUGGGACACGUGGUCUGACUAGGCCAAAAAAUUUUUGGUCAGCUUUAUGACCAAUAACAUUCCACUAUGUUAGAGAAUGUUUGUGCAAAGUUUGGAGUUUGGAGUUUGUAGCUUAUGGGGACAAAUUAAGGUCCUAAAUAUGAUCUAUGAGGGGGAUCUGGCCUAGUCUUAGACACAAUUUUUUAGUGAGCUUUAUCAUCUUUCAGAUUCUCUCAUAUAAUGACACACGUUACCAACGUUUAAGCUUUAAGAAUUAUGGGACCAAAUAGGAGUCUCGAAUUAGGGUAAUUUUAGGGGCCUGGGACCCAAACGCCCCCAAAUUGGGUCAGCUGACCAUGUGAUUUUUAUUGUCCAUGAUACUACCAACCUAUUUGGAGGGUCAAAUCUUUUGUAGAAAAUGGAACCUAAAGUUCUGUUAUGAUCUCCUGGACUAUUACUGCUUGUAUCGUUCGUUGAUAAGAUUACAGACAUACGAUUUCGCAACUCUUGUGUCUGACAAGUAAGAAAUUAACAGCGAUGUAGAAAGUGACGAGGCUUCUUUUACUGACGCAGAACUCAACACUGUUAAUACAAAUUGGUGUGAGUGUGGAAAUUGUAGAUCACGAAAACACAAACUUAAAGUGUGUGCUGUAUGGAAACAACGGAAUUCCUGAUGAGUUUUUUCAAAGUAGAAGAACAGAUAUACAAUUUUUCUUUAUCUUCUGCAUCUUUCUUUAUUAAUAAAUAUUUUAUCGCUUUCCUUGUUAGCUGCAUUCUUUUCGUCAAAAACUUUAUGUUUUGCUUCAAUAAAAUAAUCCUUCAUCGCUUCUCUCUGACUUCACAAGCCAAUUUAUAUUUAUUUUAUUCAACAAUAUCAAUUGCAUGUUUGAAAGAUCGAAUGUUCGUUCCAAAUGAUAAGUUAGAAAAAACUGUGGGUAUAAAUGUUGUAUAAUUAUAAAUCACCCUUUUUAUUAUUAUAGGUCACAAAUGCGUUACAGAAGCUGCUAAUUUUUAAGUAGAAUCCGGCAUUAAAGCCAGCUAGAUAACUUAUUAAGAUUUCGGAUUAAAUGCGAGAUCUUAUGAAAACGGGCGGUCUUUUUCUUCUCCUCCUUUUCUUCUUCUCUUUCGACCUAUUUUUUAUCCGAUUGCCGUAACCGUCACGACUUUUUAAAGUCCGACCUGGCCCCGCGUCCUAGCUCUACGCCGGCUGUGUGCGUAUCUUAAUAUUCGUAAAAUUGGGUAAGCAUGAAGACUGCGUUACGAAUUUGAUCACAAAUAUUGUUAUAGACUGUUAUUUUAAUAUUAUUUGAUGAGCUAUGCUAGAUACUCAUUCAAAUUCUCGUUUCAAGUUAUGUUUUUAACAAGGCGGAUUUUGUUCAACUAAACCGAACUCUAGGGGUUAAGGUACGAGUCGUUUCUUUCGAGGGACCGAGUUUAAGCACUCCAUAUUGAUUAUACUCAAGCUUGUUCACCAAGCUGCGAAGCUAAGUUUUUUAAAGCGAAGAGAAAGGUUGGGUUAGUAUAAUUAUUUAACUUUCUAAAUUUCAGUUCUAUCAACGUUUAAGACAACCUCGUCCCCAGGACUAUUUGCUUCUCAACGGCGCUGCGCUUUCUGAUAGUUCUAGCGAAAUAGCCCUGGAACAGGCUGGUCACCGUAUCGCAUCUGAUUGGCCCACGGCGUUACCCUAAUUAUGCAACGCUUUUAGCUGGCGUCAGCAAAAAUCCUAAAAGUGAUACAUAAACAAAUAUGGCACCGGAAGAUGUGGCGUCGUUGUUGUUGGUGGUUUUAAAUCCUUAAAAAGCAUUAUUUUUCCUUUUUAAUCUCAUUUCCUCCACCUUUU